rnacentral:lncRNA from 1 species
UGACAGCUUCUCUGGGCAACCUGGGCCAGGCUCUCACCACCCUCACAGCAAAGAAUUUCUUCCCAAGAUCUCAUCUAAAUCUCGCCUCUUUCAGUUUGAAGCCAUUACCCCUCAUCCUAUCGCUAUGUGCCCUUGUAAAAAGUCCCUCUCCGGCUUUCUUGUAGGUCUCCUUCAGACACCAGAAAGCUGCUAUAAGGUGUCCCUUGAGACUUCUCUUCUUUCAGCCUGUCUUCACAGCAGAGGGGCUCCAGCCCUUGGAACAACUUUGUGGCCCCCUCUGACCCCGCUCCAACAGGUCCAUGUCCUUCUGCUGUUGGUGGCCCGAGAGCUGGAGGUCUUCCCAGGGCGGAGCAGAGGGGCAGAAUCCCCUCCCUUGCCCUGCUGGGGAUGCAGCCAAAUGCUGCACUACCCUUCCCAUGAAUGAGGCCAACCAGUUGCCUUUGCCAGCACUCCCACUGCCCCUCCUCCAGAGCAGAUAGCAAGCAUCCUUCAAAGGCAUGGGGCUGUUGGACCCGACGGCUGGUGGAUGUGCCCAGACCUAGCUGGAAGGCGGAACAUCAUCUUAAAGGAUGGCUCUCCAGCUGGUGCCUUCAGCUCUGCCAACGUCCUCGCUAAUCCCUCAGUGUCAGGAUGCAGCACUGAGGUGGAGAUGGCCACCCCAGCUGGAAGGACCUGGGCUGAAGGGGUCUUCUCCAACAUCCCUCUUACUGCCCAGUAGGAUACCUGUGAUCUUGAAAACCAGAAUAAUUGUAUUGUCUGAUGUCAACGUGGAGGAAGAAUGUGGAGCAUUCAGCAACGAUAAGCAAAACUUAAAUGCUUUGGAGGUGGAGUUACAAGUGAGUUUUAUGAAGUUUGGAUACAUACCCAAACUUCCUUGAAUCUUUUGGGGCCUAAUUAAAUUUGAGGGGAUUUAUAAAAAACCUGCAUGGAAGAUAAUACUCUUUUCUAUUAAGGAACUGCUUAAUAAAACAGAUUAUGUGUAAAAUAGAAAUAUGG